AACGAACGCUGGCGGCAUGCCUAACACAUGCAAGUCGAACGAGACCUUCGGGUCUAGUGGCGCACGGGUGCGUAACGCGUGGGAAUCUGCCCUUGGGUUCGGAAUAACAGUUAGAAAUGACUGCUAAUACCGGAUGAUGACUUCGGUCCAAAGAUUUAUCGCCCAGGGAUGAGCCCGCGUAGGAUUAGCUUGUUGGUGAGGUAAAAGCUCACCAAGGCGACGAUCCUUAGCUGGUCUGAGAGGAUGAUCAGCCACACUGGGACUGAGACACGGCCCAGACUCCUACGGGAGGCAGCAGUGGGGAAUAUUGGACAAUGGGCGAAAGCUUGAUCCAGCAAUGCCGCGUGAGUGAUGAAGGCCUUAGGGUUGUAAAGCUCUUUUACCCGGGAUGAUAAUGACAGUACCGGGAGAAUAAGCUCCGGCUAACUUCGUGCCAGCCGCCGCAGUAAGAC
rnacentral:rRNA from 1 species